UGCCUACGGGGCGCAGCAGUGAGGAAUAUUGGUCAAUGGGAGAGAUCCUGAACCAGCCAAGCCGCGUGAGGGAAGACGGCCCUAUGGGUUGUAAACCUCUUUUGUCGGAGAACAAAACCCGGGACGUGUCCCGGACUGCGUGUAUCCGAAGAAAAAGCACCGGCUAACUACGUGCCAGCAGCCGCGGUAAUACGUAGGGGGCAAGCGUUAUCCGGAUUUACUGGGUGUAAAGGGUGCGUAGGUGGCAGGGCAAGUCAGAUGUGAAAGCCCGGGGCUCAACCCCGGUACUGCAUUUGAAACUGUCC
rnacentral:rRNA from 1 species